rnacentral:rRNA from 1 species
UACGUAGGGUCCGAGCGUUGUCCGGAAUUAUUGGGCGUAAAGGGCUCGUAGGCGGUUUGUCGCGUCGGGAGUGAAAUCCACUGGCUUAACUGGUGGCUUGCUUUCGAUACGGGCAGACUGGAGGUAUGCAGGGGAGAACGGAAUUCCUGGUGUAGCGGUGAAAUGCGCAGAUAUCAGGAGGAACACCGGUGGCGAAGGCGGUUCUCUGGGCAUGUCCUGACGCUGAGGAGCGAAAGCAUGGGGAGCGAACAGG